rnacentral:rRNA from 1 species
AUGAUUGAGAUCUUACAAAACACAGAGGUGACUGAGACUGAAGAUGUUGACCAAAAUGCAUCAGUACACAUGAUUUCCAUUUCUGCGGCAGCUCUUGGCAGUAACUCUGGAAAAUCUGCCAGAACUAUGCAACUAAAGAUUCAAUUACAUGGGCACAAUUACACCUUCUUGAUGGACUCAGGAAGCACACACUCAUUUCUUCACAGUUUGUUGCAAGCUGAGUUGCAAGGAGCAGUACCUAUGAAACCUGUAUCUGUCAGAAUUGCUAAUGGAGAUACUGUUACUUGUUCCAGUCAACCGCUGAACUGCAACUGGAGUUGUUCGCGUCACAAGUUCGUGUCUGAUUUUAAAUUUUUCCCCAUGGGCAGUUAUGAUGGAAUCAUUGGACUGGAUUGGCUCUCUUCUCAUAGUCCAAUGCUAGUUGAUUGGGAAAACCAUUGGAUAUCCUUCCAGCAUAAUAAUGACAAUAUCACAAUCUUGGGAAGCAACAAUUAUUCCUGA